UGCCAGCAUCCGCGGUACUACUGAUUGUCCAAGCGUUGUCCGGAUUUAUCGGGUUUAAAGGGUACGUAGGCGGGACUUUAAGUCAGUGGUGAAAGCCUCCAGCUUAACUGGAGAAUUGCCAUUGAAACUGAAGUUCUUGAGUAUGGAUGAGGUGGUUGGAAUAUAACAUGUAGCGGUGAAAUGCAUAGAUAUGUUAUAGAACACCAAUUGCGAAGGCAGAUCACUAAACCAUUACUGACGCUGAGGUACGAAAGCGUGGGGAGCGAACAGGAUUAGAUA
rnacentral:rRNA from 1 species